AACACUUAUUUGUAAUCUGUACAUGCCUGGUUAUUUGUCCAUCAUUCAAAGUGAAUCUAUUUGAGCGAGCAAUUAUGAUGCAAUGCCACAGUACUCAAGAAGUGGGCAGAAAUCGAUCCUGAGGCGGGAGGUACACAAGCACACCACAGGACAGAAAAAUGGACAACAACGCAGUCACGGUCUUCCAAAAUUUUUUUGAAAGAACAUCUAUUCCAGAAUUCCAGGCUCAGAGUCAUUGUGCAUACAAAAAUCAUUCCCAGCACAAAGCCUUGGAACUGCGGAACCUCAAUUUAUAGAGAUCUUACAGCAUGUUAGCCUCGCCCUCAACACAUCUUCUGUUCUGUUGCACUGCAUUUUUAGGUCUAUAGAUAAAUGUGAUAAAACGGGACAUAAGCUUAAAGGGCUUUAUUACCGGUUUAAAUAUUCACAAUGCCACAAUCUGCCGCAGACAGAUCUGAGUCAUGUGGUUAAAUGUGCAAACAAUUACUCAAUUUAAUUUCAUCCUGCAGAAGUUGAAAAACAAGUUGUAAUCACGGUGGAUGCUGUUCAUUUUCUUCCAAAAGCCACCAUCUUUUAUUUUCCUGAUUGGAUUUUAUUCUUGGA
rnacentral:lncRNA from 1 species